AGAGUUUGAUCCUGGCUCAGGAUGAACGCUGGCGGCGUGCUUAACACAUGCAAGUCGAACGAAGCAUUUGCGACAGAUUUCUUCGGGAUGAAGUUGCUUAUGACUGAGUGGCGGACGGGUGAGUAACGCGUGGGUAACCUGCCUUGUACUGGGGGAUAGCAGCUGGAAACGGCUGGUAAUACCGCAUAAGCGCACAAUGUUGCAUGACAUGGUGUGAAAAACUCCGGUGGUAUAAGAUGGACCCGCGUCUGAUUAGCUAGUUGGUGAGAUAACAGCCCACCAAGGCGACGAUCAGUAGCCGACCUGAGAGGGUGACCGGCCACAUUGGGACUGAGACACGGCCCAAACUCCUACGGGAGGCAGCAGUGGGGAAUAUUGCACAAUGGGGGAAACCCUGAUGCAGCGACGCCGCGUGGAGGAAGAAGGUCUUCGGAUUGUAAACUCCUGUUGUUGAGGAAGAUAAUGACGGUACUCAACAAGGAAGUGACGGCUAACUACGUGCCAGCAGCCGCGGUAAAACGUAGGUCACAAGCGUUGUCCGGAAUUACUGGGUGUAAAGGGAGCGCAGGCGGGAAGACAAGUUGGAAGUGAAAUCCAUGGGCUCAACCCAUGAACUGCUUUCAAAACUGUUUUUCUUGAGUAGUGCAGAGGUAGGCGGAAUUCCCGGUGUAGCGGUGGAAUGCGUAGAUAUCGGGAGGAACACCAGUGGCGAAGGCGGCCUACUGGGCACCAACUGACGCUGAGGCUCGAAAGUGUGGGUAGCAAACAGGAUUAGAUACCCUGGUAGUCCACACCGUAAACGAUGAUUACUAGGUGUUGGAGGAUUGACCCCUUCAGUGCCGCAGUUAACACAAUAAGUAAUCCACCUGGGGAGUACGACCGCAAGGUUGAAACUCAAAGGAAUUGACGGGGGCCCGCACAAGCAGUGGAGUAUGUGGUUUAAUUCGAAGCAACGCGAAGAACCUUACCAGGUCUUGACAUCGUAUGCAUAGCUCAGAGAUGAGUGAAAUCUCUUCGGAGACAUAUAGACAGGUG
rnacentral:rRNA from 1 species